CUGAGAUCAGUGUGUGUAACCACAAGCACUGUUCUAGCCAGAAAACCUCCCAGGAGGGCAUCUAAAGUGAGUGAUCGUGGCUGCCACGUGGUAAGAAGAAAAGAUGCUCCUGGAAAUUUUUGUGUGGAUUCUUUGGAGUCAACUGGCCUGGUUGAGUGCCCAGCAGCUAGAGCAGAGUCCUCAACUUCUAAGAAUCCAAGAGGGAGAAACUGCCAUAGUCUACUGCAACUCUUCAAGUGUGUUUCCUUCCUUGCAGUGGUAUAAACAGGAGCCUGGGACAGGGCUUACCCUCUUGCUGACAGUGGUCAAGGGUGGUGAAGUGAAGAAAGAGAAGAGAUUGACUGUUCAGUUUGGUGAAGCCAGAAAGGACAGCUCCUUGCACAUCACUGCAACCCAGCCGGAGGAUGUGGGUAACUACUUCUGCGCAGGACCACGGUGCUCUCAGGACACCUGCUGCCUGUACUCAAACCCAGUCACCCCACUGCCACCUGUUUUCAGCUUCUCCUCACACACCUGUAGCAUGAAAAACAAUAGCAAGUUCAGCCCUUCAUAG